rnacentral:rRNA from 1 species
GAUGAACGCUGGCGGCGUGCCUAAUACAUGCAAGUCGAGCGAAUGGACGAGAAGCUUGCUUCUCUGAUGUUAGCGGCGGACGGGUGAGUAACACGUGGCUAACCUCUCUCUAAGACUGGGAUAACUUCGGGAAACCGGAGCUAAUACCGGAUGAUAUUUUGAACAGCAUGGUCUAAAAGUGACAGACGGUCUUGCUGUCACUUACAGAUCGAUCCGCGCUGCAUUAGCUAGUUGGUAAGGUAACGGCUUACCAAGGCAACUAUGCAUAGCCGACCGGAAAGAGUGAUCGGCCACUCUAGAGCUGGGACACGGUCCAGACUCCUACGAGAGGCAGCAGUAGGGAAUCUUCCGCAGUGGGCGAGAGCCUGACGGAGCAACGCCGCGUGAGUGGUGAAGAUCUUCGGAUCGUAAAGCUCUGUUAUUAGGGAAGAACAUAUGUGUAAGUAACUGUGCACAUCUUGACGGUACCUAAUGAGAAAGCCACGGCUAACUACGUG